GACAUAGGUGGCGAACGUUAUCCGGAAUUACUGGGCGUAAAGUGUGCGCAGGCGGCUUCGCAAGUCAGGUGUGAAAUCCCCGGGCUUAACCUGGGAAUGGCGUCUGAAACUACGGAGCUGGAGUGUGGCAGAGGGAGGUAGAAUUCCACGUGUAGCGGUGAAAUGCGUAGAUAUGUGGAGGAAUACCGAUGGCGAAGGCAGCCUCCUGGGCCAACACUGACGCUCAUGCACGAAGGCGUGGGGAGCAAACAGG
rnacentral:rRNA from 1 species